GCCAGGGUGGUGCAGUGGGAAGAGCACUGGACUAUAAUUUUGGAGACCAAGGUUUGAAUCCUUGCUCAACCA